ensembl:lncRNA
AUCCUACCUUCCAUUCCAACUGUCACUCUGUGAGCUGAGAGAUUCAAAUUUGGUGACAGAUGAGAAGCUGUCACCCUCACACCUCGAGUGUUUGAGAAUGGGAAAUCUGAAUUGUUAUUUUGGAGGAUCUUGCUUCAGGAAUGAAAGAAGAAACAUUCAUCUAAUGUCAAGAAAAUCACCCACUAGCUGGGCCAGAAUAAUCCACUUCUGGCCACAUAAGAGGGUGCACCCUAUCAAUGACUCAGAAGAAGCUCCCACUGAGUCCCUGUUGGAAGACCUGGACCUGCCCAGUGACAGGGCAGACGAGAAGGCCCCGCCUACCCCCAAGGUUAAUGGGACAAAUGAUGAAAAUGCUACAUGUGUUGGAACCACUCCUCUGCUAACGGGAAAUCUAGCUGAUGCUGACGAAGAAGCUCCCCCUGUGGACCUGUUGGAGGACCUGACUGACGACAGGACAGAGGAAGAGAUCCCACUUACUGCCAAGGAGGAUGCAAGAGCUGGUGAAAACCCUCCCCCGGAGGAUUUGUUGAAGGACAGAGCAGAGGAGGAAGCUUCACCCAUCUCUAAGCUGGUCUCAGUAGAAAGUGAAAACGAAUGCAUUUUGGAAAGCAUAUAUGACAGUGGAAAUGAAUGCAACACAGACAAGAUGCUGGACAGCUCAUGGAGCAACCAGGAUGAAGAUGCUACAGGGAAUCUUCCCAACCCAGGGAUUGAAUCCAGGUCUCCUGCAUUGCAGGCAAAUUCUUUACCAACUGAGCCACCAGGGAAGCCCUUUGUAUUUUAAAUAUGUCAGAAUAAAUGGAAAUGUGUCCACGGUCUUUGACUGUGCUGUGUCUACAAUCAUCUUUUCUGCCUUUGAAUACUACUUCGAGUCUAAUGAAGAAUCGGAUCAGGAGAGCAACAGUCUGCAUAUGUCAAGAUAUCCUCUGCUUCUCCUCUUAAGAGAAGCUGUUGGGUCUGCAGUCAGUGAAGAAGAGGACAGGGAGGAGGAGACAUAAAUAUGGAGGGUGGGGAUGAAAGGUUCUGCUCUGACACCUGUGAAGGCCUUGACCUUGGGGCCUCAUCCUGGGCCUCAGAGGGGAACGAAGCAGUACAGAGUCAGGAGGUUUCCAACUGGACAAGGAACAGGGUUGGCCUCACUGCUCAUCUCCUAAGGAACCUAAUUUAGUACAGCU